rnacentral:rRNA from 1 species
GCUUGGCCCUAAACCUCAGUAGUUAGAUAACAAAACUACUCGCCAGAAUACUACGAGCUACAGCUUAAAACUCAAAGGACUUGACGGUGCUUUACACCCCCUAGAGGAGCCUGUUCCGUAAUCGAUAAACCCCGAUCCACCCCACCCUCUCUUGCUCAGCCUAUAUACCGCCAUCUUCAGCAAACCCUAAUGAAGGUCACAAAGUGAGCGCAAACGCCGUCACCGCGAGUACGUUAGGUCAAGGUGUAGCCUAUGAGAUGGUAAAAAAUGGGCUACAUUUUCUACCUCAGAAAAUUCCACGAAAACCCUUAUGAAAUUUAAGGGCCCAAGGAGGAUUUAGCAGUAAAUUAAGAAUAGAGUGCUUAAUUGAACCAGGCCAUAAAGCGCG